rnacentral:rRNA from 1 species
AGUCAACAUAACCAAAGGACGUGGAUAAACUCGGGAAACUGAGGCUAAACCGCGAUAGAUCAAGAUACCUGGAAUGGUUUUUGAUCAAAAUCUAUAUGGCCUUUGGAUUGGACUGCGUCCGAUCAGGCUGUUGGUGAGGUAAUGGCCCACCAAACCUAUAACCGGUACGGGCUCUGAGAGGAGGAGCCCGGAGAUGGGUACUGAGAUAAGGACCCAGGCCCUAUGGGGCGCAGCAGGCGCGAAACCUCUGCAAUAGGCGAAAGCUUGACAGGGUUACUCUGAGUGACUUUCGUUAAGAAAGUCUUUUGACACCUCUAAAAAUGGUGUAGAAUAAGGGGUGGGCAAGUCUGGUGUCAGCCGCCGCGGUAAUACCAGCACCCCGAGUGGUCGGGACGAUUAUUGGGCCUAAAGCAUCCGUAGCCGGCCUUACAAGUCCUCCGUUAAAUCCAGCUGCUUAACAGAUGGGCUGCGGAGGAUACUAUAAGACUAGGAGGCAGGAGAGGCAAGCGGUACUCAGUGGGUAGGGGUAAAAUCCGUUGAUCCAUUGAAGACCACCAGUGGCGAAGGCGGCUUGCCAGAAUGCGCUCGACGGUGAGGGAUGAAAGCUGGGGGAGCAAACCGGAUUAGAUACCCGGGUAGUCCCAGCCGUAAACGAUGCAGACUCGGUGAAAUCGAAUUCCCGCGGCCGCCAUGGCGGCCGGGAGCAUGCGACGUCGGGCCCAAUUCGCCCUAUAGUGAGUCGUAUUACAAUUCACUGGCCGUCGUUUUA